rnacentral:rRNA from 1 species
GACGAACGCUGGCGGCGUGCCUAACACAUGCAAGUCGAACGGAGCAGAUCCCUUCGGGGGUUUGCUUAGUGGCGAACGGGUGAGUAACGCGUGAGGAACCUGCCUUUCAGUGGGGGACAACAGUUGGAAACGACUGCUAAUACCGCAUAUGCCUAAGUACCACAUGGUACAAUAGGGAAAGAAGCAAUUCGCUGAUAGAUGGGCUUGCGUCUGAUUAGAUAGUUGGUGGGGUAACGGCCUACCAAGUCGACGAUCAGUAGCCGGACUGAGAGGUUGAACGGCCACAUUGGGACUGAGAUACGGCCCAG